rnacentral:rRNA from 1 species
GAUCCUGGCUCAGAUUGAACGCUGGCGGCAGGCUUAACACAUGCAAGUCGAACGGUAACAUAAAGAAGCUUGCUUCUUUUGAUGACGAGUGGCGGACGGGUGAGUAAUGCUUGGGAAUCUAGCUUAGUGGAGGGGGAUAACUACGGGAAACUGUAGCUAAUACCGCGUAGUAUCGGAAGAUGAAAGUGUGGGACCUUCGGGCCACAUGCCAUAGGAUGAGCCCAAGUGGGAUUAGGUAGUUGGUG